CUCCGCCUCUUCCGAGCCGGGUCGCGACCUUGAGGCUGGGAGUCGGGUUUCGGAGCGUGCCGGGCCUUCGCCCGCCCUGCAGCCCCCUUUCUCACCAUGGCCGCGGCCCGGAACCUGCGCACCGCGCUCAUAUUCGGAGGCUUCAUCUCUAUGGUCGGAGCCGCCUUCUACCCUAUCUACUUCCGGCCCCUUCUGCGGCUGGAAGAAUACCAUUCUGCUGGUUUCCUUCGUUUUAAGCUGGUUGCUCACAUGACAAUGGUGAAUGCCGGGGGAGUCAUUUUUUUCCUUAAUCAUUCAGGUCCUAUCAUUCUAAAAGCCAAACUCUCCUUCCUGGAGACCUAUACCUCAGCAAGGAUUAGCACUUUGAUACAUCUGAAGCCAUCUGUCAGAGAGGAGAGAUGAGGCAUUAGAGGAUCAUUUUGUUCUCCAGGAACCUGAACCAUCUUGAAGAUGAAGAGGGCCAGCCCAGCCCCCUGGGGAAUAUUAGCCGGAGCUGAAGCUUGGCGGUUUGACGCUUCAU
rnacentral:lncRNA from 1 species